rnacentral:rRNA from 1 species
UGGCCGCGGUAAUUUGACCGUGCAAAGGUAGCAUAAUUAUUAGUCUUUUAAUUGAAGGCUUGAAUGAAUGAUUGGAUGAAAAAUUUACUUUAUUAAUUUAAAUUAUUUAAUUUAUCAUCUAAGUAAAAAUUCUUAGAUAAAUGAAUGGGACGAGAAGACCCUAUAGAGUUUUAUUUUUUUUGUUUAUUAUAAAAUUUCAGAACUAAUAUUUUUAUAAUAAUCAAUAAUUUUUGAUUGGGGUGAUUUUAAAAAUUAUUAAACUUUUAAUUAAUAUUUCAUUAAUUUAUGUUCAAUUGAUCCAAAAAUUUUUGAUUAUAUGAUUAAAUUACCUUAGGGAUAACAGCGUUAUUAAUUUGAAGAGUUCAAAUCGAUAAAUUAGUUUGCGACCUCGAUGUUGG